rnacentral:rRNA from 1 species
GACGAACGCUGGCGGCGUGCUUAACACAUGCAAGUCGAACGGAAAGGCCCUGCUUUUGUGGGGUGCUCGAGUGGCGAACGGGUGAGUAACACGUGAGUAACCUGCCCUUGACUUUGGGAUAACUUCAGGAAACUGGGGCUAAUACCGGAUAGGAGCUCCUGCUGCAUGGUGGGGGUUGGAAAGUUUCGGCGGUUGGGGAUGGACUGGCGGCUUAUCAGCUUGUUGGUGGGGUAGUGGCUUACCAAGGCUUUGACGGGUAGCCGGCCUGAGAGGGUGACCGGCCACAUUGGGGCUGAGAUACGGACCAGACUCCUACGGGAGGCAGCAGUGGGGAAUAUUGCACAACGGGCGGAAGCCUGAUGCAGCAACGCCGCGUGCGUGAUGACGGCCUUCGGGUUGUAAACCGCUUUCGCCUGUGACGAAGCGUGAGUGACGGUAAUGGGUAAAGAAGCACCGGCUAACUACGUG